GACGGAAGGUGCAAGCGUUGCUCGGAAUCACUGGGCGUAAAGGGUGCGUAGGCGGCCGUGCAAGUCUGGCGUGAAAGCCCCGGGCUCAGCCCGGGAAGUGCGCUCGAAACUGCGCGGCUCGAGUGCCGGAAGAGGAGAGUGGAAUUCCCGGUGUAGCGGUGAAAUGCGCAGAUAUCGGGAAGAACACCCGUGGCGAAGGCGGCUCUCUGGGACGGUACUGACGCUGAGACGCGAAAGCGUGGGGAGCGAACAGG
rnacentral:rRNA from 1 species